CUCUGUCCUGAAGGCCAGUCCCACCCCCACCAUGUUCCCCCAGCAGCACUGAGUCUAUUUCCAGUCAGCCAGUGACAAGAGCUAAGAACUUGUCCCCACACCACCAGCCUCCCUGAUGAGAAAGCAAGCAGACUCAGUUUUCUGGCAUCUCAGGGAGCAUGCAGUGGUGAUUCACUUUCUUCAAAGGGUCUCUGGAUUCUCUCAGCUUGCCUGAUGAUAUUGUGUCCGGAAUUGGUGGGCUCCUGGUCUCACUGACUUCAAGAAUGAAGCCGCGGACCCUCACAGUGAUGGUGCAGCAAGAAGCUCCUCAUUAAAU
rnacentral:lncRNA from 1 species